AAGGCCGGUUUGCAAAUGAAGAGCCCAGAAAAGAAGCGAAGAAAGUCAAAUACCCAGGGUCCUGCUUACUCACGUCUGACGGAGUUUGCACCACCCCGACUCCCAUGGUGGAUCAUCUGGUUGCAUCCAACCCUUUUGAGGGUGACUUCGGAGCCCCUAAGAUGGGCAGCGCGGCCCCUCCAUUCCUCGGCAGUCCUGUGCUCUUUGGAAGCUUCCGUGUAUGAGGGGACAUGGCAAGCCAGGUACCCCCAGGCUGUGGAGGGGUCCCCAGACACUUUGUUGAUAACCCCGCCCUUCCCUCCUAAUCCUAUGGGACCUGCUUUCAACAUGCCCCCCCAGGGCCCUGGCUACCCACCCCCAGGCAACAUGAACUUUCCCAGUCAACCCUUCAGCCAGCCUCUGGGUCAAAACUUCAGCGCUCCAGGUGGGCAGAUGAUGCCAGGCCCAGUGGGGGAUUUGGCCCCAUGAUCUCACCCACCAUGGGACAGCCUCCCAGAGGGGAGCUGGGCCCUCCUUCUCUCCCCCAGCGCUUUGCCCAGCCAGAUGUGCCUUUUGGUCCUUCUCCUCUACAGAGACCUGGUCAGGGGCUCCCCAGCCUGCCCCCCAACACAAGUCCCUUCCCUGGUCCAGACCCCGGCUUUCCUGGCCCUGGUGGUGAGGAUGGGGGAAGCCCUUGAAUCCACCUGCUCCCACUGCUUUUCCCCAGAAGCCCCAUUUGGGCUCGCCAGCUGCUGCUGUUAAUGGGAAUCAGCCCAGUUUCCCCCAAAACAGCAGUGGACGGGGUGAUGGCACUCCGGAUGCCAACAGCCUAGCACCCCCUGGCAAGACAGGUGGGGGUUCAGGGCCCCAGCCUCCCCCAGGCCUGGUGUACCCAUGUGGUGCCUGUCGGAACGAGGUGAAUGACAACCAGGAUGCUGUCUUGUGUGAGGCCUCCUGCCAGAAGUGGUUCCACUGGAGUGCACAGCAUGACUGACAGCGUGACCACUGAGGCCUCUGCUGUCUGGGCCUGUGAUCUCUGCCUCAAGACCAAGGAGAUCCAGUCUGUCUACAUCCGCGAGGGCAUGGGGCAGCUGGUGGCUGCUAAUGAUGGGUGA